rnacentral:rRNA from 1 species
CCUACGGGUGGCUGCAGUGAGGAAUAUUGGUCAAUGGGCGGGAGCCUGAACCAGCCAAGUCACGUGAGGGAAGACGGUCCUACGGAUUGUAAACCUCUUUUGCCGGGGAGCAACGGGGUCCUUGCGAGGGCCCGAUGAGAGUACCCGGAGAAAAAGCAUCGGCUAACUCCGUGCCAGCAGCCGCGGUAAUACGGAGGAUGCGAGCGUUAUCCGGAUUUAUUGGGUUUAAAGGGUGCGUAGGCGGGCUGUUAAGUCAGCGGUCAAAUGUCGGGGCUCAACCCCGGCCUGCCGUUGAAACUGGCGGCCUCGAGUGGGCGAGAAGUAUGCGGAAUGCGUGGUGUAGCGGUGAAAUGCAUAGAUAUCACGCAGAACUCCGAUUGCGAAGGCAGCUUACUAAACUAUAACUGACACUGAAGCACGAAAGCGUGGGGAUCAAACAGGAUUAGAUACCCUAGUAGUC